rnacentral:rRNA from 1 species
UGGGGAAUUUUGGACGAAUUGGGGGCAACCGAUCGAUCCAGCAAUGCCGCGUGUGUGAAGAAGGCCUUCGGGUUGUGAAGCACUUUUGUCCGGAAAGAAAACGUCGUGGUUAAUACCCGUGGCGGCUGACGGUACCGGAAGAAUAAGCACCGGCUAACUACGUGCCAGCAGCCGCGGUAAUACGUAGGGUGCAAGCGUUAAUCGGAAUUACUGGGCGUAAAGCGUGCGCAGGCGGUCCGCUAAGACAGAUGUGAAAUCCCCGGGCUUAACCUGGGAACUGCAUUUGUGACUGGCGGGCUAGAGUAUGGCAGAGGGGGGUAGAAUUCCACGUGUAGCAGUGAAAUGCGUAGAGAUGUGGAGGAAUACCGAUGGCGAAGGCAGCCCCCUGGGCCAAUACUGACGC